GUGGGAGGGGGCUUGCUCCCGAUUGCGGUGGUUCAGCCAAGUAAUUCUUGGCUGACACACUGCAAUCGGGAGCAAGCCCCCUCCCAC
rnacentral:misc_RNA from 1 species